rnacentral:rRNA from 1 species
AGUCGAGCGGGAAUAGGUAGCUUGCUACCGAUUUCUAACGGCGGACGGGUGAGUAAUGCUUAGGAAUCUGCCUAUGAGUGGGGGACAACAUUUCGAAAGGGAUGCUAAUACCGCAUACGCCCUACGGGGGAAAGCAGGGGAUCUUCGGACCUUGCGCUAAUAGAUGAGCCUAAGUCAGAUUAGCUAGUUGGUGGGGUAAAGGCCUACCAAGGCGACGAUCUGUAGCGGGUCUGAGAGGAUGAUCCGCCACACUGGGACUGAGACACGGCCCAGACUCCUACGGGAGGCAGCAGUGGGGAAUAUUGGACAAUGGGGGGAACCCUGAUCCAGCCAUGCCGCGUGUGUGAAGAAGGCCUUUUGGUUGUAAAGCACUUUAAGCGAGGAGGAGGCUACUCUAGUUAAUACCUAGGGAUAGUGGACGUUACUCGCAGAAUAAGCACCGGCUAACUCUGUGCCAGCAGCCGCGGUAAUACAGAGGGUGCGAGCGUUAAUCGGAUUUACUGGGCGUAAAGCGUACGUAGGCGGCUUUUUAAGUCGGAUGUGAAAUCCCUGAGCUUAACUUAGGAAUUGCAUUCGAUACUGGGAAGCUAGAGUAUGGGAGAGGAUGGUAGAAUUCCAGGUGUAGCGGUGAAAUGCGUAGAGAUCUGGAGGAAUACCGAUGGCGAAGGCAGCCAUCUGGCCUAAUACUGACGCUGAGGUACGAAAGCAUGGGGAGCAAACAGGAUUAGAUACCCUGGUAGUCCAUGCCGUAAACGAUGUCUACUAGCCGUUGGGGCCUUUGAGGCUUUAGUGGCGCAGCUAACGCGAUAAGUAGACCGCCUGGGGA